GACGAACGCUGGCGGCGUGCUUAACACAUGCAAGUCGAACGGAAAGACCCUGCUUUUGUGGGGUGCUCGAGUGGCGAACGGGUGAGUAACACGUGAGAAACCUGCCCUUGACUUUGGGAUAACUUCAGGAAACUGGGGCUAAUACCGGAUAGGAGCUCCUGCUGCAUGGUGGGGGUUGGAAAGUUUCGGCGGUUGGGGAUGGACUCGCGGCUUAUCAGCUUGUUGGUGGGGUAGUGGCUUACCAAGGCUUUGACGGGUAGCCGGCCUGAGAGGGUGACCGGCCACAUUGGGACUGAGAUACGGCCCAGACUCCUACGGGAGGCAGCAGUGGGGAAUAUUGCACAAUGGGCGGAAGCCUGAUGCAGCAACGCCGCGUGCGGGAUGACGGCCUUCGGGUUGUAAACCGCUUUCGCCUGUGACGAAGCGUGAGUGACGGUAAUGGGUAAAGAAGCACCGGCUAACUACGUG
rnacentral:rRNA from 1 species